UGACACGUGAGCAACCUGCCUUUCAGAGGGGGAUAACAGUUGGAAACGACUGCUAAUACCGCAUAACGCUGCGAUGGGGCAUCCCGAUGCAGCCAAAGGAGCAAUCCGCUGGAAGAUGGGCUCGCGGCCGAUUAGCUAGUUGGUGGGGCAACGGCCCACCAAGGCGACGAUCGGUAGCCGGACUGAGAGGUUGAUCGGCCACAUUGGGACUGAGACACGGCCCAGACUCCUACGGAAGGCAGCAG
rnacentral:rRNA from 1 species